rnacentral:rRNA from 1 species
UACGGAGGGUGCAAACGUUGCUCGGAAUCAUUGGGCGUAAAGCGCACGUAGGCGGCCCGAUAAGUCGGAUGUGAAAGCCCUCGGCUCAACCAAGGAAGUGCAUUCGAAACUGUCGGACUUGAGUACGGGAGGGGGUUGCGGAAUUCCCGGUGUAGAGGUGAAAUUCGUAGAUAUCGGGAGGAACACCAGUGGCGAAGGCGGCAACCUGGACCGAUACUGACGCUGAGGUGCGAAAGCGUGGGGAGCAAACAGG